UGACCAUAUAUGUAAUGCCUCUGACAAU
rnacentral:piRNA from 1 species